AAGUAAAAGUCGUAACAAGGUUUCCGUAGGUGAACCUGCGGAAGGAUCAUUAUUGAAAUUAUAGGCGAGGGUUGUAGCUGGCCUCUCGGGGCAUGUGCACGCCCGAGCCCUUAAUCCCACACACACCUGUGAACCUAUUGUAAGGGCCCGUAAAAAAGGCCUUUACGUCUUUAUCACCUACCCGAAGUCUCAUAGAAUGUAAACAUAUGUCCUCGCCUUAAAAAAGCGUUGAUAAAAUUUAUACAACUUUCAACAACGGAUCUCUUGGCUCUCGCAUCGAUGAAGAACGCAGCGAAAUGCGAUAAGUAAUGUGAAUUGCAGAUUUUCAGUGAAUCAUCGAAUCUUUGAACGCACCUUGCGCUCCUUGGUAUUCCGAGGAGCAUGCCUGUUUGAGUGUCAUUAAAUUCUCAAACUCUGAUUGAUUUGUUUCAAUCGAGCUUUGGAUUUGGAGCGUGCCGGCGUCAGUCGGCUCCUCUUGAAUGCAUCAGCGGAAUCCCAUUCAUUUUCGGACGUCAGUGUGAUAAUCAUGUUGUGCUGUCUUUACGAUCUUGAAAGCCCGCUCACAAUGGUCUUCGGACAAACCUCACUAUCAUAUUUGACCUCAAAUCAGGUAGGACUACCCGCUGAACUUAAGCAUA
rnacentral:rRNA from 1 species